GCAGUGUAAUGGUAGCAUGCGCCCCUGGAAAGGGUGAGACGCUGGUUCAACUCUCGCCUGGAGUA